UGAGCCGCGGGGUAACCACUGCCCUCGGCCUCCUGUCCCUCUGCACACCCCGAUUUACCCGCACGCACGCGCGGGAAAACAACUCACACAGAAUAUUCAGAUGCUUUCUGGAAAGGAAGGGCUUUAGUUUCAAAUUAGAAAUCUGUCUCAGAUGAACGAUAAAUUCCCCUUUGGUCAGGCUAUGGUGUUUGAUCAUAUCUUAGUGGUUUUGUCCUCACCAAAAAGGGCCCCGGAGGCUGAAUCAAGAAGCAGGAUUUGAGAUAGUUUGAUUUGACAUAAGGAAACUGUUGCAUUUGUAAUAUUAUAAGACUCUAAAGGGGGAAAAUGAAACCUCUGUAGCUGAGACAAGAAGUGUGCCUAAGUGCCACUACGUUUCAAUUCCCAUUCGGAUAUAAUUUAAGUCUUCUCCGGCUUACAGUAAUAUACUCUCCAACCUUGAAGCUAUCCAAAAGGAGGGAUUUAAUGAGGCCGAGUUUAUACACUUAUAUAAUUUAGGGGUUUCUCUGUAGCUAUAAAAUGACAAUUGGUACAUGUGUAGUGCAAAAGAGCUGAAAUCCCAUCCAGGGACCAAGUUGGUUAUUUCUGAAGGAGCUGUCAUUUCCAGCAGGGGGGCACAAUGAGAAGGCCAGGAGCGAUGGAGCUCUGAUCUCCACCAAGGAGAGAUAACCACCUGAUUAAAAUGGGGCUCUUGUUCCCUCGUUACUCGAUCGUCGUGUGAACUUACCUUAUUUACAAUUAUAGGCAAUGAGUGAGUCGCCCAGAUUGUAGUACACCUAUAGCUUUAGGUUUACUCCUCCCUUUGUUAUCAAGAUCAUCUCUUGGACAGAUUUCUGGACCACUCGUAGCAUGGGAGCACAGAAAUGCUCUUAAGGAGGGAGGAGAUGUGUACGUUCAGAGCCCUGCAUUUCGAGCGCAGCGCGUACACCCACACCCCCCCGCUGGAAACCGAGCAGGAGGCCGGGCCCAGCAGAACCAGCCUGUCCAAAUCAGGAUGUUUACAGCAUGCAGGCACGUGUGAACACCGCCAGAAAGCAAAGGGACUCGGCACUAGGUGAAGGACUAUUUUGCACUCCACAUCUGGUAUUUGCUCAUUUUCCAGGUGAAGCCAGGCACGGCGGCUGUUGGAGGACACCUCCCUCUCGGGUCACUCUGGAGCCCAGGAUGAAGGCUGAAGUGAGGCACCGACUCGAAGUUAGGACAAUUGAGCUGUCGAUUGCUUGGUGGAGAAACAGGGAAGAGAUGCAGGCUCCAACUCCACCUUUUUGGCAGUGCAGGGGGUGACAAGAAAGAGUUCUGAUUUUCUCUCACGUCUCCCAGCAGCCAGAGAAAGGUGUGAUCAGAUGGUCUUCUACUACAACAGGUGGGAACAAAACAGAAAAAAAAAUAUCUAGAUGUAUUUCUCGUCGAUUAAAAUGUUGCUGGAAUAGCAGGACGCGUGCCUUUUAUAUCCCGCUAAAUGUUAAGAUGGGAAGAUGCGUUAUAAAAGCAGCCAUUGGCUGUUUCCUCUAAGGCUGCAACAUCCCCUUCAUUUUAAUCGCUUCUUCGUUUUGGAAGAAAGCUGAGGAGAUGAGGGGGAGAACUCCUUCCCCCAGUUCCCCGUGCAUCUGCAGUGACGGGGGACUGCAGGAAGCCCCGGUGGUGCCAGGACCGGCAGCGUGGGAGAGCCCGCUCUGCCUGGCCGGGCAUCCUCUCCCUGACAUGUUGCAUUUCGACAAUGAGAAAAUUAGACAAGGGACGGGGCAUUCAAACGCGGUGCUCACAGAAGAGGCUACCCUAGUAGUUAUUUAGUCUAAAAAUCUGCUGUCAACUUUUUUUUUUUUUUUUCCCCGUCAGGAUCAGCGAGCUGCGUUUCUUUGCGUUGGUUCGUUUGCUUUUAACCAGGCAUGCUGCGAAUUGUGGAAGCUUUCCAUUUACCUUUUCUUCUUUAAGCGUUUUAAUUAUCAUCACUGACCUGUUGGGCAUACCUACAGUAUCAAUGUCCUUUUUACAUCGCUGCCUUCCCUUUCUCUGCAUGUUUCUGCUAUUUAACACUUGCUACCUUUGCCAUUAGAGUCCUAGAGUGACCCCCAUGGGUAUCUUUGAAAGAAAGACCCUCUGCAUUCCAGCACUGCCUCCUUACCCAAGUAAUAGCAAAGGGACCAUUCAGACACAUGGACCACACUGAAGCAUUAAUUAGGCUGAUGAAAUCCAUAGAAAUGUAUGGAUUCAGCAUAAUCGAGUUUCUUCUGCUGACUAUAGUUAAGGAAUACGUGAGCAGCUGGGAGAAUAGAAAGUACUGUUAGGGUGAAGUCAUGCAUGUAAUUGAGUAUAUUUAACAUAACCAUUUUAAUGAUCGGUGAUUAAAAGUGCAUCUACUUAAAUUGUAUACCUCUGCAAUUUGUCCAUAUCAACUUUAGAGCACACACAAAGAAAAGGUCGUCAUAUAAAUUUAUAAACAAGAUCCCUUCCUGGCUACACAUGACUCGAGCUGGAAUGAUAACUCGGCAGCAGCGAGGGGGGAAAGGCCUUUCGCGAGAAAAUAGCUACGCCAGUGCGAUAUUAAUUAAUCACUGGUUUGGCCCCCUUUCUCUCUUGUGCAGUCACAGUAUUAGAAGUGCAUAAUAAGUGAGUUUUCUUUUCAUCCGUAAUUAUUUAUAACAAUCAGAUCACUCGGGAAAAAAAAUCCCUGGGUUUCUUUCCCGUAUUAAAGGAGUAUCUUUUCCCUCACUUGA